CAAUAGCAUAUAUUAACGUUGUUGCAGUUGAAAAGCUCGUAGUUGAACUUUUGGUAGGAGCGACCUGGCCUUGGGCGCAUGCCCUUGUUUGCCGUGUGUCGUGUCUGGCCAUCCUUUUCCGUUUCGGCGGGAAUCUUUUACUGUGAGUAAACUGGAGUGCUCAAAACAAGACGUUUGUUUGGUACAUUAAAGCAUGGAAUAAUAAGAUAGGACCUGGUUACUAUUUUGUUGGUUUGCAUAGCUAGGUAAUGAUUAACAGGGACAGUUGGGGGUAUUCGUAUUUAAUUGUCAGAGGUGAAAUUCUUGGAUUUAUGAAAGACGAACGACUGCGAAAGCAUUUGCCAAGGAUGUUUUCAUUGA
rnacentral:rRNA from 1 species